rnacentral:sRNA from 1 species
UCGAUUAUUCGCACCAUCGAGAAGAUGGUGGGUUAGCGCGCGAUCCGUAAGACAGUCACGCCAUGCAACCCGCCCCACGAGGCGGGUUUC